AAAGAGUUCUAUAACUCCCAAACCCAUGUGAACAUACCUAACGUUGCCUCGGCAGGUCGCACCUACCUUGUAGCACCCUACCCUGUAGGGCCUACCCGGGAGGUGCGGGUAAGCCUGCCGACGGCCCACCAAACUCUGUUUGAUAUUGAAUUCUGAACCUAUAACUAAAUAAGUUAAAACUUUCAACAACGGAUCUCUUGGUUCUGGCAUCGAUGAAGAACGCAGCGAAAUGCGAUAAGUAAUGUGAAUUGCAGAAUUCAGUGAAUCAUCGAAUCUUUGAACGCAUAUUGCGCCCAUUAGUAUUCUAGUGGGCAGGACCGUUCGAGCGUCAUUUCAACCCUUAAGCCUUCGUUGCUUAGUGUUGGGAGCCUACGGCAACGUAGCUCCUCAAAGUUAGUGGCGGAGUUGGUUCACACUCUAGACGUAGUAAUUUUUUAUCUCGCCUAUUAGUUGGACUAAUCCCCUGCCGUAAAACCCCCAAUUUAUCAAGGUUGACCUCGAAUCGGUUCAGACAAACUCGCUAAAUUGAAGCAUCUUAGUCAGCGAAGGAAAAGAAACCAACAGGGAUUGCCCUAGUAACGGCGAGUGAAGCGGCAACAGCUCAAAUUUGAAAUCUGGCCCUCGGGUCC
rnacentral:rRNA from 1 species